rnacentral:rRNA from 1 species
AGAACGAACGCUGGCGGCGUGGAUAAGACAUGCAAGUCGAACGCGACUUAUCGUGUUAGCAAUAACAUGGUAAGUUGAGUGGCGAAAGGGUGCGUAACACGUGGGAAAUUACCAAGAAGUGGGGAAUAGCUCGACGAAAGUCGAAUUAAUACCGCAUAUGAUCGCAAGAUCAAAGUCGGGGACCGCAAGGCCUGACGCUUUUUGAGAUGCCCGCGGCCCAUCAGCUAGUUGGUGAGGUAAAAGCUCACCAAGGCUAUGACGGGUAGCUGGUCUGAGAGGACGACCAGCCACACUGGAACUGAGACACGGUCCAGACACCUACGGGUGGCAGCAGUCGAGAAUUUUUCACAAUGGACGAAAGUCUGAUGGAGCGACGCCGCGUGGAGGAUGAAGGUUUUCGGAUUGUAAACUCCUGUCACUGCAGAACAAGGAUACGUUAGUUAACAGCCAACGUAUUUGAUGGUAUGCGGAGAGGAAGGGACGCUAACU